UCUCUGGCUUUUUGGUCAUCCUUUUCCUUCUGGUCUGAUUUUCUUUGAAGAUCAUCUUUCAUCCUGCUCUCUAAAGGGGGAGGGGUCAUGGCCUCCCUGGGCUCUGAGAGCUCCUGAUGGGAUUAGGUUCAGCUGGUUUGGGCCCAAAUGAGCCCUGAAGCAAAAACCCUUCUCCUCCACAACUGUGUUGAAUGCCUGGAGUCUAGCCCAGGUUGCUUUCAAGGAAUGCCCUUUGGAGCAACCCCUUUGCAGGCCCUGAGGUUCCUGUUCUUUCAGAAGCUCUGAGGACUCUUGAUGGGAUUAAGUUCAGCUGGUGUGGGCCUAAUGAUCCCCAAGCCAAAAAAAAAAAAAACUCCUCCUCCUCUACAGUCUGUAUUGAAUGUCCAGAGACUGGCCCAGGUUACUUUCAAGUUUUCAAGAGUCCUGAAGAUCACCAACAUACCAAGAGAAUUCCAGACACAUCAUUUCGAUGAUUCCACAGAGGGAUCUUACUUACAGAUAUUUUCUCUGCAACAUAAUUUCCCCUGUUCUCCAACUUGUCCUCACUAGCAUAGAAGGUGAAGGUCUGCAUGACAUUUGAACCUGCUCGAAGGAAUUCCC